rnacentral:rRNA from 1 species
AACGAACGCUGGCGGCAUGCCUAACACAUGCAAGUCGAACGAAGCCUUCGGGCUUAGUGGCGCACGGGUGCGUAACGCGUGGGAAUCUGCCCUUGGGUUCGGAAUAACAGUUAGAAAUGACUGCUAAUACCGAAUGAUGUCUUCGGACCAAAGAUUUAUCGCCCAAGGAUGAGCCCGCGUCGGAUUAGCUAGUUGGUGAGGUAAAGGCUCACCAAGGCGACGAUCCGUAGCUGGUCUGAGAGGAUGAUCAGCCACACUGGGACUGAGACACGGCCCAGACUCCUACGGGAGGCAGCAGUGGGGAAUAUUGGACAAUGGGCGAAAGCCUGAUCCAGCAAUGCCGCGUGAGUGAUGAAGGCCUUAGGGUUGUAAAGCUCUUUUACCCGGGAUGAUAAUGACAGUACCGGGAGAAUAAGCCCCGGCUAACUUCGUGCCAGCAGCCGCGUAAU